CACGAACCGUACGAACGUUAUUCGGAAUUAUUGGGCGUAAAGAGCUCGUAGGCGGUUUGUCGCGUCGGCCGUGAAAACUUGGGGCUUAACUCCAAGCUUGCGGUCGAUACGGGCAGACUUGAGUUCGGCAGGGGAGACUGGAAUUCCUGGUGUAGCGGUGAAAUGCGUAGAUAUCUGGAGGAAUACCGGUGGCGAAGGCGGCAAUCCUGGACCCGGCAGUUGGACGCUGAGGAGGCGGAAAAGCUAAGGGGAGCAAACGGGGGAUUAAGAUGACCCCAGUAGUCC
rnacentral:rRNA from 1 species